AAAAAAAAAAAUCUGCCUCCAGGAAUCAAACUUUAUAGGCGGCAGAGAUUUUCUCCUACCUGUUUAGGAGGAUUAACCAUUUCUGGGCCCAAUGUGGGGAAAUGGAACUAAGGUGAGAAAAGUGGAAUUCAGAGAAACUGAGUAACUGGGCCAAAGAUCUUACAUCUAAUAAAUGGCUCCAGAGAGGGAAGAUGGACUGGAAAAGGAGCUAAAGAUUGAUCAUGCUUACAUGAUGAAGCCGCCAUUAAAAUGCCAACAGUGUGGGGUUCAGAGAGCUCCCAGGUUGGUGAACAUGUUGAUAGACUGGGAGGGUGAAACACCCCAACUCCAUGAGGCUUGAAGCUCCUGUGCUCAGCACCCUCCAAGAUCUCACCCUAUGUACCUCUUCAUCUGUAUCCUUUAUUUUAUCCUCUAAUAAACUGGUAAAUGUAA